AGUCACCAGACCUUCGUCGGAAUCACCGGACAGUCGUCAGUAUUAACAUAAUGGUGUCAUAAUCACUGAAUGUUGUCUCUCUGCUUUCUCCAGAUCUGGUUGUUCACAACCUCCCUCUGCCUCUACUCCUUCCACCAUCAGAAACCAUGUCAAUCUAUUUAUUUUCUCCAACGAAGAGGUUUCUCAAUCUAGUUUACACUACAAUCACAUGCUUAGGAAUUUAGGGUUAGGGAUUAUUGAUUAGGGGAUACCAAAUCACCGACCAUUUGAACCUCGAUUUCUUCAUUUCAAAGGCAUAGAUGGGUUCAAUUAAUGAAAUGACGACAAUUGAGAUAGAAAAUCAACAACCAGAGGAAGAGGAGUAGUGAAGCGGAAGUCUAUGUUCAUGAAUGUGAGGUGUUGCACUUACGAGGAAUAAGCCAUAACAUAAGAUAUGAAUUUGUUGAUUUAGAAUGGUGUUGAACCUCAAACAGAUAGCGACUUAGCAGACCUUGAUGCUAUCUCUGCUCUGAAGGAGUAUGAUGCACUUGAAGUCAAUUUUACUGAUAGUCAUGCUUCAAAGCAGGUAAUUUCUUUUGAAUCUUUAUGCUCUUUUCGGACAUUUUUCCCUUACUGUUAUCGUUUUUACUUUUUUGAACAACUGGAACUAGUAGUAUCAGAUGCUCAUAUGGAUGCAUUCCAUCAGCAACUACAAUGUGAAUAGAAACAAGCUAUUAUUGAAAAAGAGCAAGGCCUACAUUUAUAUAUAUUGAUGUCACCAUGGAGUUAGAUGAAGACCAUGAAGAUGCUAAAGAGAUUGUUCCUACCUCUCCAAUAGGAAAAACUAGUGUACAUUUGGACUCAUUUGAUGUAACACAUACGCAUUUAUGGGGAAAUCCUUUAGAAUUGGUGACACCCUUUGGGCAACGAAAAGACAAGUUUGUAGUACACUCAAAUUUUAACACUGUACCCACACUUUGUGAAAUUACAAUGGAAAAUGGAGAAGAUGGUUCUGAAGAUGAUGGGAUCAAAAGAGUACAACCUAUUAAAAGUUGUUACUUGAAGUUCAUUCUUCCUAGCCUGCCCUAGAUGAAGAUACAUGUAUGAUAGGAUAGGAGACAAGGUAUUGUAGCAUUCUUAUAAAUCUGAUUGCAUUUGGUCACCAUGGUUAUUUUUACAUCACUAACUUUCAUGUUUUUGGAAGUUUAGUUUAAUUACCUUGAAGAUAGAAUCAUGAAAUAUUCAAAAUCCAUUGUUGCAUCUUAACUUUAUAAGGAACCUGUCGAUCCAUUGGUUGCUUCCCAGGUAAGUACUAUCUCUAUUUUAUUAGAAUUAUUGUUUUCUUUUUUUAUCAUCUUUGAAUAGCUUCUACAACCUAAUUUACAUCUCUUGAUUUCUAUCUAAAAAGUAUAUUUGCGAAACUCCCUGGGGCUAUAAUAAUUUGAUCCAAUGUUUGAAUUAGAGUUAUUCGACCUUUUGAAUUGAUUUUUACUGUAAUAUAGAUUUGACUAAACUACUUUAAUCGUCCAUGCGGUUAUGAAAAAAAAUACGGAUUUGGUUCUAAUCCUUAAUUUGUAACUUUUUCAGUAAUCUUGACAAUUCUCUUAACAUUAUAUAAUAAUCAAUGGAGGUACCUUGCUACCUUUUUCAUUUACCCAUAUUAAUUAAAAAAAUUCUUCUACAAUAAUCAUCCGAUUUUUUUAGCCAAUUUCUUUUAUGACUAAACUUUUCAGUUUUACCUAUUUAACCUUUUAUCUAUAAACUAUUUGUUAAAUUGACCCUUUUUUACAUAAAAGUGUUGCUUAUAAAUUAAAAUCGUUAAUUUUUCAAUGUAAAUUUGAUAGUUUUUUUGUAAUUUUACGAUGCAUGCAUGUUAGCUACUACUCUUGGAAGAUAUCGGUCAAAUCUGAGAGUGUACAUAGGAUGUAUGAAAUCUGGACCUGUUCUCUCCCAAAAGUAAUUCAUUUUCAUUCUUUUUUUUUUUUUAUUAUUAAAAUACCAAAAUACCUUCAUUAUAUAUUUUAAAAUUUUAAAUACACACAUUUAAUUACUAUAAAAAAGCUUAAAUAUUAUACAACCUUUAUUUAUAUUAAUCACAUAUCAUUUAUGUGAUUAAAUCAUAAAACCACCACCACCACCCGCCACAACCACUCGUUACCACCACCCUACCUAUCAACCACUAAAACCACCACCACCAUCCGCCACCAUCACCCAUCCCCACCAUCCACCACCACCACCACCCGUCACCACCAACCACUACUCGCCAACAUCAUCACCAUCAUCACCACUAAAAUCACCACCUACAACUAUCAUAACUAAAACCACCAACCACCACCACCCACCAUCAUCAUCCACCACCACCUGCCAUCACCCACCCGUCAACACCAUAACCACCCACCACCACAUCAUCACCAUGACCCCCAUCACCUACCACCCAUGACCACCCUACGCUAACUCCAUUACUACUACCACCCACCACCAUGCAUCUCCACCGCACAACCACCACCAACUACCUACAACCACCAAUAGUAUAUGUGAUUAAAUGUAUAUAAUGACAUAAAUCAUGUGUGAUUAUAUGUAUUUAAUCAUAUAAAUUACACGUGAUUAAAUACAUACAAUCACAUGUGAUUAUAUAUAUCUAAUCACAUAUGAUUUAUAUAAAGAAUAUUAGUUUUCAUGUUUUCCAUUCAAUAAUCUUUCUCAUGUAUUAAAUCAUAUAUGAUUAUAUGUAUAUAAUAACAUAUGAUUAAUAUGAACAAAGAUUUGUUUUGCGUUUUUUUAUUCAAUUGUUGUUCUCUUGUAUAUAAUCAUAUAUGAUUAUAUGUAUCUAAUUAUAUCUGAUUUAUAUAGACAAAAUUCUUUUUUCCCCAUAUAAAUCAUAUGUUAUUAGAUACAUAUAAUCACAUAUGACUAUAUGUAUUUAAUCACAUAUGAUUAAAGAUGGCAAAGAACGAUUAUUGAAUUUAGAGAAUGCGAUAAUGAAUCUUGUCUAUGUGAUUCAGUAGCUGUUCUCAUGUAUUUAAAUACAUAUAAUUACAUAAAUCAUACAUGAUUAUAUGUAUUUAAUCACAUAUGAUUUAUAUGUUCAAAUAACAACUUUUGAAUCUAGAACACAAAAACAAAUCUUGAGCACAUAAAUCAUAUGUGGUUAUAUAUAUAUAAUCACAUGGGAAUAAAUACAUGAUAAUACUAAAUCAAAAACAUAAAACAAAUAUUCUCUGUAUAAAUCAUGUGAUUAGAUACGUAUAAUCACAUAUGGUUAAAUACAAUAACCAAAAUUGAGUCGAGAAAGCAAAAAUAAAAAUUGUCCACAUAAAUCAUAUGUGAGUAGAUACAUAUAAUCACAUGUGAUUAUAUGUAUUUAAUCACAUAUGAUUUAUUUGGACAAUAUUCACUUUUACCUUUUUAAAUUCAAUGGUUGAUCUUAUGUAUUUAAUCAUAUGUGAUUAUAUGUAUCUAAUCACUUAUGAUUUAUGUGGAAAAAAUUUGUUUUCAUGUUCUUAAUAGUUGUUCUCGUGUAUACAG